GGAGUCUGGGCCGUGUCUCAGUCCCAAUGUGGCCGGUCGCCCUCUCAGGCCGGCUAUAGAUCGUCGCUUUGGUGGGCCGUUACCCCGCCAACUGGCUAAUCUAACGCGGGUCCAUCUCAUACCGCCGGAGCUUUUCACACUGUACCAUGCGGUACUGUGCGCUUAUGCGGUAUUAGCAGUCAUUUCUGACUGUUAUCCCCCUGUAUGAGGCAGGUUACCCACGCGUUACUCACCCGUCCGCCACUCGCUCAUUCCCCGAAGGGAACUCGCUCGUUCGACUUGCAUGUGUUAAGCACGCCGCCAGCGUUCAUC
rnacentral:rRNA from 1 species